rnacentral:rRNA from 1 species
GACGAACGCUGGCGGCGUGCUUAACACAUGCAAGUCGAACGGAAAGGCCCUGCUUGCAGGGUACUCGAGUGGCGAACAGGGGAGUAACACGUGGGUGAUAUGCCCUGCACUUCGUGGUAAGCCUUGGGGACUGGGUCUCAUACCGGAUAGGGGCCCUUUUUAGUGUGGUGGUUGGAAGGUUUUUUCGGUGUGGGGUGGACGCGCGGCCUGUCAGCUAGUUGGUGGGGUAGGGGCUGACUAAGCAGGGCAUGGGCGGCUGGCCGGCGGGGGUGACGGGCCCAAUGGGGACGGAGAUACGGCCAGGACUCCUCCGGGAGCAGCAGUGGGGAAUAUUGCACAAUGGGGGGAAGGCUGAUGCAGCGACGCCGCGUGGGGGAUGACGGCCUUCGGGUUGGAAACCCCUUUCGCCAGGGGCGAAGCUGUGUGUGACGGUACCUAGAUAAGAAGCACCGGCUAACUACGUG